UUUUUGAGGAAGUCCUUUCAUCCUGAAUGCUUCCAUUCCUUACAGUCUCUGAGGCUUCUGAAUCAACAUUGAGUUGUACUUUUAUAUUGCUGAAUAGUGAACACAAUUAACACUUCCUUGAUGUACUUAAAUAAUGCAGACUGACCUAUUCUUAAAUGUACAACAGGUACUCAAGGGAAAUCCGCAGACAACUGAGAAGUUCUUCAGCUGUUGUUUUGGAGAUUGGUUUAGCUGGCUGAAUUCACUUUUGGUGUUGCCUCUUUCUCCAGUUUGUCUGCAGCAGUGGAGUCCAGCAGUGACUAAAGGUAAGCACUGGCCUCGAUCUCAAAUCCUACACUAACAGCUUCUGAUUUCAUCACAUCGCUGCUGGAACCAGGAAGUAUGAGCAGAUUAUUCUUUCCUUUUUUUUUUUUAAUAAAAGAAAUUUAAGUGAUGUUUCAUGUUGCUUAGUUGUGGUAAAAGUCUGCUCAGUUCUUUUUUUAUUUCAGCAUCUCAGGAGCUCAUGUAUUA